GGCUCGGUGGUGUAAUUGGUAGCCACAGCAGACUUAAAAUCUGCCGACGCAAGUCGUACCGGUUCGAUUCCGGUCCGAGCCA
rnacentral:tRNA from 1 species